GUCCUACGGGAGGCAGCAGUGGGGAAUAUUGCACAAUGGGGGAAACCCUGAUGCAGCGACGCCGCGUGAAGGAAGAAGUAUUUCGGUAUGUAAACUUCUAUCAGCAGGGAAGAAAAUGACGGUACCUGACUAAGAAGCCCCGGCUAACUACGUGCCAGCAGCCGCGGUAAUACGUAGGGGGCAAGCGUUAUCCGGAUUUACUGGGUGUAAAGGGAGCGUAGGCGGUAAGGCAAGUCUGAUGUGAAAGGCCAGGGCUCAACCCUGGGACUGCAUUGGAAACUGUUUAACUGGAGUGUCGGAGAGGG
rnacentral:rRNA from 1 species